AUUGAACGCUGGCGGCAUGCCUUACACAUGCAAGUCGAACGGCAGCGCGGGGCAACCUGGCGGCGAGUGGCGAACGGGUGAGUAAUAUAUCGGAACGUGCCCUGGAGUGGGGAUAACGUAGCGAAAGUUACGCUAAUACCGCAUACGAUCCAAGGAUGAAAGCAAGGGGACCUUCGGGCCUUGUGCUCCUGGAGCGGCCGAUAUCUGAUUAGCUAGUUGGUGGGGUAAAAGCCUACCAAGGCGACGAUCAGUAGCUGGUCUGAGAGGACGACCCAGCCACACUGGAACUGAGACACGGUCCAGACUCCUACGGGAGGCAGCAGUGGGGAAUUUUGGACCAAAUGGGGGGGCGAACCCCUGAUCCAGCAAUGCCGCGUGUGUGAAGAAGGCCUGG
rnacentral:rRNA from 1 species